UUGGGUUCUGGGGUUCUGGUGGGUUCUGGUGGGGUUUGGUUUGGUUCUCCAAGGGUUUUGUUGAGUUCUGGUGGGAUUCCAUUGGGUUCUUGUUGGGUUUUGGUGGGUUCUCCAAGGGUUCCAUUGGGUUCUGGUGGGGUUUGGUGGGUUCUGGUGGGUUCUGGUGGGGUUUGGUUUGGUUCUCCAAGGGUUCUGGUGGGUUCUCCAAGGGUUCUGGUGGGUUCAGGUGGGAUUCCAUUGAGUUCUGGUGGGGUUUGGUUUGGUUCUCCAAGGGUUCUGGUGGGUUCAGGUGAGGUUCCAUUGGGUUCUGGGGUUCUGGUGGGUUCUGGUUGGGUUCCAUUGAGUUCUGGUGGGGUUCUGGUGGGGUCUGGUUGGGUUCUGGUGGGUUCUCCAAGGGUUCCAUUGACUUCUGAGCUUUGGUUGGGUUCUGGUUGGGUUUGGUUCGGUUCUCCAAGGGUUCCAUUGGGUUCUGGUGGGGUUCUGGUGGGUUCUGGUGGGGUUCCAUUGAGUUCUCCAAGGGUUCCAUUGAGUUCUGGUUGGGUUCCAUUGGGUUCUGAGCUUUGGUUGGGUUCUGGUGGGGUUCCGUUGGGUUCUCCAAGGGUUCCAUUGGGUUCUGGGGUUCUGGUGGGUUCUCCAAGGGUUCCGUUGGGUUCUCCAAGGGUUCCAUUGGGUUCUGGUUGGGUUCUGGUGGGUUCUGGUGGGGUUCUGGUGGGUUCUGGUGGGGUUCUGGUGGGUUCUCCAAGGGUUCCGUUGAGUUCCGGUUGGGUCCCGUUGACUUUUCCCACAAUUCCAUUGGGUUUUCCAA
rnacentral:lncRNA from 1 species